CACGUACCGGACAAACGUUAUUCGGAAUCACUGGGCUUAAAGAGUGCGUAGGCGGCCUAAAGGGUGGGGUGUGAAAUCCCACGGCUCAACCGUGGAACUGCGCUCCAAACCGUUAGGCUUGAGGGAGACAGGGGUGAGCGGAACUGAUGGUGGAGCGGUGAAAUGCGUUGAUAUCAUCAGGAACACCGGUGGCGAAGGCGGCUCACUGGGUCUCUUCUGACGCUGAGGCACGAAAGCUAGGGUAGCGAACGGG
rnacentral:rRNA from 1 species